rnacentral:lncRNA from 1 species
CUGUCCUCGCAUUCACAACUACAACCAAGAAUAGCAACAAAGUCACCCUCUUCGUUCUCAAAAGUAAGGAAAAUAAAACAAUUUUGAGACGGUGGACAACUGACCUUCUUGUCGAGCUUGAUCUUUCUCAUCCCACGUAAUCCAUGUCAGAUCGCCACCGCUUCCCGAAAAAUCAGCAACCUCCUUGCUCUCCCCACCUCCUAAUAUUAAAAUAUCGACAUGAUAGCAGCAACAACACAGGGAGGGUCUUGAAAAUGAAGUGCCAUGUUCAUACCGAAGGAAAAUAAUCAUGCUCAAAUAGAAAGAUAUGAAUUAUUAGUAGAAGGAAGACACCUAUUAUAGCAUGCAUAACUAUUCAGUAUGACCGCAAUGGUGUAUAAAAUUGACAAAUACUUUAUGGGAGGGGGAAGAACGACCACGGAAAUGAGGUGACGGUGAUGGUCGGUUGUGGGCUCAGUUUUGUUGAGGCUACGAUAACUGCCAACAGCGAGACUUGAAGCCAUACAUGGUGAUCGUGGAGUCCGUCUAUCUGAGUCGGCGCACGCGUCCAUCAAACCCAUACACAGCUACAUGAUUUGGAGGGAGUGACUGGCCAGCCACCACCAGAGCACUUGGUGGUAAAGAAUAAAUCAAUAUCUUCCUCUCACGCGAUUAGAAAGUUAGCGUAUUCCAAAAACAAAAGAAACAAGGCUAAAAAUGAACUGCUUGAACUCCUCUACCAGUAAUAAGCGGUCAUAGAAAGUCCAUUGCUGGCACCUCACUUCUUCUAUCAAAAUGCGUUCAACUACAUUAAUGUGUCAAAAUUGCAAGUGUAGUCAUAGGUGAAAAUUGAAAUUUUCUACGAUGGACAUGUAAAACAGUCUAGGUGAAUUAGGGAAAGUCGGUAGCACAAAGAAUGAAUAACCAAGCUGAUAACACAAAUAAUGAUUAACUAAGUUGAUAGCACAAACAAAAGUAACCACUGAUAGCAAAGAACAAUAUGAUCUACGAGUACAUGAGGAAGAAAUAUGUAAAAAAUAAUGGUAGCUAUCUGACUGUUUAAGCAGUUCAUCUCAAGGGCAGACAUAGUCAGUAAACAAAUAGGUGAAAAGAAGACUGAAGUUGUACCGUAAUUCAUCCAUGGCAGCUAUGUAGGAUGCAUUAUGAUGUGGUUCACUCCGAAAGAGGCUCCCUAUCCAAUCCAAAACCUGAAAUCGAUUAAUUACUCAAUGCCAGAUAAUCAAUGUACCACUACAUGGUACCAUGAAUCCAUAAUAACUAAUUAAUCUACAGCAAUUCUAGACAUCAUUGACACUUAGACGUUGUAAAACCAAAUUACAGACAGAUUUUCAGAUUAACCCGAGGCUAUAACCUUAUACGCACUACCACAUUCGAUGGACGGCGAAACAAUGUUCAGCACUACCACAUAUACUGUGAAUCUUCCCUGAACUUUUUAGUUUGA